AGGAUAAACGCUGGCGGCGUGCCUAACACAUGCAAGUCGAACGUCCUUGCGGUCUUCUUCUUCGGAGGAGGACCGCGAGGGAGUGGCGGACGGGUGAGUAACACAUGGGUACCUGCCUUUCAGUGAGGAAUACCGGCGAGAAAUCGCCGACAAGACCGCAUAGGCUUCCUUCGGUAGCCCGAGGGAAGCAAAGUUACUUCGCGAGAGGUGACGCUGGAAGAGGGGCCUGUGGCCGAUUAGCUAGUUGGGGGGUAACGGCCUCCCAAGGCGACGAUCGGUAGCUGGUCUGAGAGGACGAUCAGCCACACUGGGAUUGAGAACGGCCCAGACUCCUACGGGGGGCAGCAGUGAGGAAUUUUCGGCAAUGGGGGCAACCCUGACCGAGCAACGCCGCGUGCAGGACGACGGCCUCGGUUGUAAACUGCUUUUCUCUGGGACGAGCAAGGACGGUACCAGAGGAAGAAGCCCGGCUAACUACGUGCCAGCAGCCGC
rnacentral:rRNA from 1 species